rnacentral:rRNA from 1 species
GCUGCAGGAAUUCCCAAUACUAUCGGUACGGGUUGUGGGAGCAAGAGCCCGGAGAUGGAUUCUGAGACACGAAUCCAGGCCCUACGGGGCGCAGCAGGCGCGAAAACUUUACAAUGCAGGCAACUGUGAUAAGGGAACCCCGAGUGCCCGUAUGGACGGGCUGUUCAGGUGCUUAAAAACCACCUGGAGAAAGGGCCGGGCAAGACCGGUGCCAGCCGCCGCGGUAAUACCGGCGGCUCGAGUGGUGGCCACUAUUACUGGGCUUAAAGCGUCCGUAGCUUGGUCGUUAAGCCUCUGGGGAAAUCUUCCGGCUUAACCGGAAGGCGUCUCAGGGGAACUGGCGACCUAGGGAUCGGGAGAGGUGAGAGGUACUCUGGGGGUAGGAGUGAAAUCCUGUAAUCCUCAGGGGACCACCUGUGGCGAAGGCGUCUCACCAGAACGACUCCGACAGUGAGGGACGAAAGCUGGGGGAGCAAACCGGAUUAGAUACCCGGGUAGUCCCAGCCGUAAACAAUGCGCG